CAGGCAGCGGCCCGGGGGGGCCGUGCCGACGCGCCCUCUGGCCUCUGCCGCAG
rnacentral:precursor_RNA from 1 species